ACGCUCGAUACCUACGGGGGCAGCAGUCGGGAAUAUUGCGCAAUGGAGGAAACUCUGACGCAGUGACGCCGCGUAUGGGAAGAAGGUUUUCGGAUUGUAAACCAUUUUAGACAAGGAAGAAACAAGACAGUACUUGUAGAAUAAGCUCCGGCUAACUACGUGCCAUCAGCCGCGGUAAUCUGAGCGGGCUGGCAAGGC
rnacentral:rRNA from 1 species